CAAUUAUUCAAAUUCACUGAACUUUUGAUCAAUGUACAUCAGUGCAUAGACACAAGUGGGGUAUCCUCCAAGAGCGUAGGGGGGUGGUGGGGUAGUCUAGUGGUUAAAGCGUUGGCUCGUCACGCCGAAGACCCGGGUUCGAAUCCCCACAAGGGGAAAAUGAGUGAAGCCCAUGUCUGGUGUCCCCCGCCGUGAUAUUGCUUGAAUAUUGCUAAAGCGGCGUAAAACCAAACUCAGUCAGUCAGUCAGUCCAAGAGCGUAGGCUUCGUAUAUACAUUUCAACCAAAAGACAUUUUGAUCAAGUUUGUGGUUGUGGUGUGUAGGUGAUCAAGAUUUUGUGUAUAUUGUUGAUUUCAGUGUUGUUAUCAGUUACCCAUAUGAGAAGUUGUCAAGGGUUUUAUUGAAUAUUGCUUUAUAAAUAUAUAAUGAAUAUUAACAAUUCAUCAGCUUUCAUAUUGAGUGAUACAAACAUCGCUCAUUCUCUCUAAUACCACAGAAUAUUUGACUUGACGAUUUUGUGUUUUAUGUGUUAGAAUGUGCAUUAUGACAUUGUGAAAUUUAAAUCUAUUAACGCCGAUUAAAAGCUUAAAAUCAUUAAAAUCAUUAAACGUGA